ACUGAACUGCCCCCAGGAGAUUUGUGUUUAAUUCAACAGCCCUUUUUACAAGGUGAGCAUUAAGGUUGCAUAAAAGAGAAAAUCCCUAAGAAUGGCCAAGAAAAUGAUGGAAAAAAACCAGCUGGCUUUCGGAACAUGCUAUAACGUACUUGUCAUUACAACAGCAUGAUGGUGCCGGGUAGGAAGGGCCACAUGGAAACUGUCAUGGGAGCGCCUUUCCAGAUAAAGGGGAGGGGCGUGAAGUCCGCAAAUAAAGGUGUUGAUACAGCUGGGGAAACCAGCCUUCGCCUCCCACCAUCGCCCAAAACAGAGCCAGGCAUGGCAGGGAGAUAAGACUGGAAAACAUGGAAAUAAAACCUGGGGCACUUUGAUGACCCUGGGGCUGGGAUGCUCAACCCCAACCAGAAACCACCUAGAGAAAGAGCAGGAACUGGCCACGGAAGAAACGCUAAUGGUCAAGACACUGUUUGAAAAGAAGCUCCCCCUCAAACGAAUCAGAGACAGGGACCUGCAGGCAUUCAAAUGCACAACGAAACGCCCCAACACGCCCCUCGCCUGGAGACUGGAAAGCGGCCUGGAAGCGGGGUUGGGGGGGGGGGUGCCCGGAGCGCCAGUAACCAUCACUGGCUACUUGUCACCAGGCGUUACCGGCCACACACCUCAGGCCACAGCUGAAGACUCUCUACGAAGGCAGAGCUUUGCAGGGUUAUUUUAAAACCAACAUCACCCUCCGGUAUCUGAACGGCUCCAGCGGGAAAGAACUCGAACGCGUCUUUCCAUGAACUCCCCAGAAAGAAUUCCUGAAUAUUUUUUACGCUCGCUCUGGUGUAAUCGCAAGCUUCCUUGACCUGAACUGGAAAUAAAGACAAAUCGCACAAUCAUCAUCAUUCAGGGACGUACCAGGGAAGUCUCUUCCGAAGGAGCCGGGCAAGAUCGUUCCGUUUUCGAUCAACUACGCAGAAAAGCGGUCCACAAGAAGAGAGGAUAUUUUACUGGACAAUAAGCUACCGAAAUCACUAGUGACAAAGGCCCCUCUCCCGGAGCCCUGAUGGCAGGGCCAAUACUCUGCCAGGUGCUUUGCAAACACCUGUGAAAUAGAACCACGGUCCCCAUUUGUCACACAAGGAAAUAGAGGUUCUGAGAGAUUAAGUGACAGACCCGAGGUCACCAGGGAAACGGAGCAUGAGCGUGGGAGGGGCAGAGAGAAAAGGAGACACAGAAU